UCCAUCAUGGCAAGCACUCCCUCAACUCCUCAGCACUGGCAGCAGUGCAAGAGCAUGCUAUUAAAUAUGAAUAUCUUAUGGUGUUAAGCUGCCACCCUCUAUAAAUAGCAAGGCAUUCAUUUUAAUCAUUUUAUUGGAAUAUGGAAGCCUGGAAAUAUAUUGCUUUGGGAUUUGAAUAUUUAUUGCCUUUUGCAAUGUUCUGCUGCUUGAUUUCCCACUCCAAGAGCAGCCGUAUCCUCGUAACCAUGGAAACCACUCAUGGCAAAUUCCCUCAAAAUGCAAAAGCAGAAGGAUGGAAAGGAACAAAUAUUUUAAGAAGGUUGCACAUGAAGAGGAAGACAGCAUCCUGUCUUCACAGACGCAAGACAGGAUAAAACCACAGUAUCCUCUUGCUGGAGGGCUUGCCAUUGGAUUGGCGACCUUCCUCACCAGACAGCUGGCAUUAGACAAAGUCCUCUGUUUCAUCUUUAA